CACAUCCAGGAGGCAGCAGGCGCGCAAAUUACCCAAUCCUGACACAGGGAGGUAGUGACAAUAUAUAACGAUGCAGGGCCCUUACGGGUCUUGUAAUUGGAAUGAGUACAAUUUAAAUACCUUAACGAGGAACAAUUGGAGGGCAAGUCUGGUGCCAGCAGCCGCGGUAAUUCCAGCUCCAAGAGCGUAUAUUAAAGUUGUUGCAGUUAAAAAGCUCGUAGUUGAACUUUGGGCUUGGCUGGCCGGUCCGUUUUUUAACGAGUACUGGUUUUCAGCCGAGCCUUUCCUCCUGGUUUCUGUGUAGUUGGGCUUGUCUCAGCUGCAUAUGAUCCAGGACUAUUACUUUGAAAAAAUUAGAGUGUUCAAAGCAGGCGUUUAGCUCGAAUAUAUUAGCAUGGAAUAAUGAAAUAGGACGUAUGGUUCUAUUUUGUUGGUUUCUAGGACCAUCGUAAUGAUUAAUAGGGACGGUCGGGGGCAUCAGUAUUCAAUUGUCAGAGGUGAAAUUCUUGGAUUUAUUGAAGACUAACUACUGCGAAAGCAUUUGCCAAGGACGUUUUCAUUAAUCAAGAACGAAAGUUAGGGGAUCGAAGAUGAUCAGAUACCGUCGUAGUCUUAACCAUAAACUAUGCCGACUAGGGAUCGGGUGUUGUUCUUUUACUGACUCACUCGGCACCUUACGAGAAAUCAAAGUUUUUGGGUUCUGGGGGGAGUAUGGUCGCAAGGCUGAAACUUAAAGGAAUUGACGGAAGGGCACCACCAGGAGUGGAGCCUGCGGCUUAAUUUGACUCAACACGGGGAAACUCACCAGGUCCAGACACAAUAAGGAUUGACAGAUUGAGAGCUCUUUCUUGAUUUUGUGGGGUGGUGGUGCAUGGCCGUUCUUAGUUGGUGGAGGUGAUUUGUCUGCUUAAUUGCGAUAACGAACGAGACCUUAACCUACUAAAUAGUACUGUUAGCGUUUGCUGAUAUAGUUACUUCUUAGAGGGACUAUCGGUUUCAAGCCGAUGGAAGUUUGAGGCAAUAACAGGUCUGUGAUGCCCUUAGACGUUCUGGGCCGCACGCGCGCUACACUGACGGAGCCAACGAGUAUAUCCUUUGCCGAGAGGUAUGGGUAAUCUUGUGAAACUCCGUCGUGCUGGGGAUAGAGCAUUGCAAUUAUUGCUCUUCAACGAGGAAUUCCUAGUAAGCGUAAGUCAUCAGCUUGCU
rnacentral:rRNA from 1 species